rnacentral:rRNA from 1 species
AUUGAACGCUGGCGGCAUGCCUUACACAUGCAAGUCGAACGGUAACGCGGGGCAACCUGGCGACGAGUGGCGAACGGGUGAGUAAUGCAUCGGAACGUGCCCAGUAGUGGGGGAUAGCCCGGCGAAAGCCGGAUUAAUACCGCAUACGACCUACGGGUGAAAGGGGGGGAUCGCAAGACCUCUCGCUAUUGGAGCGGCCGAUGUCAGAUUAGGUAGUUGGUGGGAUAAAGGCCUACCAAGCCGACGAUCUGUAGCUGGUCUGAGAGGACGACCAGCCACACUGGGACUGAGACACGGCCCAGACUCCUACGGGAGGCAGCAGUGGGGAAUUUUGGACAAUGGGCGAAAGCCUGAUCCAGCCAUGCCGCGUGCGGGAAGAAGGCCUUCGGGUUGUAAACCGCUUUUGUCAGGGAAGAAAUCUUCUGGGUUAAUACCUCGGGAGGAUGACGGUACCUGAAGAAUAAGCACCGGCUAACUACGUGCCAGCAGCCGCAGUAACAC